ACCUAAGUGGCAGAUUAGUGCUUCGAAUUUAGAAUUCGACUAAGUAAUAUUUGAUUUACCUUGGGUA
rnacentral:tRNA from 1 species